rnacentral:rRNA from 1 species
GUACACGCUGUGACUAGCAUAUCAAUAAGCGGAGGAAAAGAAACUAACAAGGAUUCCCCUAGUAACGGCGAGUGAAGCGGGAAGAGCUCAAAUUUGAAAUCUUAAAGGGUUUCCCUUUACGAAUUGUAGUUUAAAGAAGUGUUUUCUGUUGAGGUUUUGGUAAAAGUUCUUUGGAAUAGGACAUCAUAGAGGGUGAGAAUCCCGUAUUUGACCUUUACUUUCAACUUUGUGAUACACUUUCAAAGAGUCGGAUUGUUUGGGAAUGCAGUCCAAAAUGGGUGGUAAAUUUCAUCUAAAGCUAAAUAUUGGCGAGAGACCGAUAGCGAACAAGUACCGUGAGGGAAAGAUGAAAAGAACUUUGAAAAGAGAGUUAAACAGUACGUGAAAUUGUCAAAAGGGAAGCGUUUGACACCAGUGUUGUUUUUCUGAAAAUCAAUUAAAGAACUGUUUAUGCUAAGCUGUUUAGACUUUAUCAGCUAACUGUUUAGUUUUGAGCUUUUCUUUAAUGCACUUUUCAGUUAACAAGUCAACAUCAAUUUCUUUUGCUGUAAAAAAGCUUGAGGAAGGUGGCUUGAGAUUCGUCAUAAGUGUUUAUAGCCUCUUGCCUAUGCAGUCGGAGAGAUUGAGGUCUGCAGCGUAGAUCCUUCGGGGCUAAAUGCAUUUGUGCUAAGUUAUAGCAUUUUAUAGACAACUUGUUGACUAUGAUUUGUCUUGUAGCUUACUCGCUUAUGUUAUUUUACCUACGCUUAGGAUGUUGAGUCGUAGAGCACGCAG